ensembl:rRNA 5S_rRNA 5S ribosomal RNA
CCAUACAGACACCCACCCUGAACACGCCUGAUCCUUUCUGAUGUUGAAAACUAAACAGGGUUGGGCCUGAUUAGUCCCUGGAUGGUAGACCUCUUGGGGCUUUAAGGUGCUCUAAGUU